CUCAUAGCAAGGUCAUGUGUGCAGAUUACAUCUACGGAUUACUCCACUACCUGCGCUAGAGGUAAGAAUGAAGUCAAGGUUAUUGGGAAAGGUUUUGAGAACACACAGAAGGAAGACGUCAUCUGUCAAUUUCGACUUGGAAAGAAAACCAUCCGAAUGAAGGCUGUGUCUGUGGAAGAUACCUCCGUUACAUGCCCAGGACCAAAGUUAAAUUAUCGGGGCCAG